rnacentral:rRNA from 1 species
UACGGAGGGAGCUAGCGUUGUUCGGAAUUACUGGGCGUAAAGCGCACGUAGGCGGCUUUGUAAGUUAGAGGUGAAAGCCCGGGGCUCAACUCCGGAACUGCCUUUAAGACUGCAUCGCUUGAAUCCAGGAGAGGUAAGUGGAAUUCCGAGUGUAGAGGUGAAAUUCGUAGAUAUUCGGAAGAACACCAGUGGCGAAGGCGACUUACUGGACACAUAUUGACGCUGAGGUGCGAAAGCGUGGGGAGCAAACAGG